GGGUAACUCAAGACAGGGGUCGGCACACAUGUCCACUGAUAAGACCAACUCCUUUAAGACUAAUCCGUUGAAAUGCUUUCUUUGUGAUGGGCCACAUCGGGCUAGAGAAUGUCCAACCAAGAGUGCUUUAAGUGCCUUAAAGGCCAUCUUUGAGGAAGAAAAGAAGCCUGAAGAAGUAGAAGAGGAAGAAGAUAGGGAAUCAAAUGAUCUUGAUGCCUCAGCAAUGGGUGCCCUACGAAUUCUUGGAGCUUUGGAAAAACAGAAACCAACAGCUACUACUGAGAGGGGAUUGAUGUAUGUGGAC
rnacentral:misc_RNA from 1 species